CACACCAGAAGAGGGUGGCAGAUCUCA
rnacentral:piRNA from 1 species